rnacentral:misc_RNA from 1 species
AGUCGUAACAAGGUUUCCGUAGGUGAACCUGCGGAAGGAUCAUUACUGAGUGCGGGCUGCCUCCGGGCGCCCAACCUCCCACCCGUGAAUACCUAACACUGUUGCUUCGGCGGGGAACCCCCUCGGGGGCGAGCCGCCGGGGACUACUGAACUUCAUGCCUGAGAGUGAUGCAGUCUGAGUCUGAAUAUAAAAUCAGUCAAAACUUUCAACAAUGGAUCUCUUGGUUCCGGCAUCGAUGAAGAACGCAGCGAACUGCGAUAAGUAAUGUGAAUUGCAGAAUUCAGUGAAUCAUCGAGUCUUUGAACGCACAUUGCGCCCCCUGGCAUUCCGGGGGGCAUGCCUGUCCGAGCGUCAUUGCUGCCCAUCAAGCCCGGCUUGUGUGUUGGGUCGUCGUCCCCCCCGGGGGACGGGCCCGAAAGGCAGCGGCGGCACCGUGUCCGGUCCUCGAGCGUAUGGGGCUUUGUCACCCGCUCGACUAGGGCCGGCCGGGCGCCAGCCGACGUCUCCAACCAUUUUUCUUCAGGUUGACCUCGGAUCAGGUAGGGAUACCCGCUGAACUUAAGCAUAUCAAUAAGCGGAGGA